AUGCCGCAUCAGCUCGCGGCCGACCGGCUUGCCUCCGCGCUCAAGCUCUCCCUCGUAACCGGCGCCCCAUCUGUUCUCUGCCGCAUCAGCCUGGGCAUAUUGCCGACGACGCCCGCAUCGACACCUCCAUCGAGCGUGUUCCCGCUGCGCCUCGGUCCUCCGCUGUGUUCUUCCUUCCUUCGCCCUUCCUACUUUUCCUUUUCUUGUGGAGAUAAUUCUUUUGCAUCAUCCUCUUCAUCUCUGCUUAUCAAUUUUCAUGGCCGCUUGUUUCGAUCACCAGGGCAUGCAUAUAUAAACCGAUGA
rnacentral:rRNA from 1 species